rnacentral:rRNA from 1 species
AGUCGAACGGGAGAAUUGCUAGCUUGCUAAUAAUUCUCUAGUGGCGCACGGGUGAGUAACACGUGAGUAACCUGCCCCCAAGAGUGGGAUAGCCCCGGGAAACUGGGAUUAAUACCGCAUAAAAUCGCAAGAUUAAAGCAGCAAUGCGCUUGGGGAUGGGCUCGCGUCCUAUUAGUUAGUUGGUGAGGUAACGGCUCACCAAGGCGAUGACGGGUAGCCGGUCUGAGAGGAUGUCCGGCCACACUGGAACUGAGACACGGUCCAGACACCUACGGGUGGCAGCAGUCGAGAAUCAUUCACAAUGGGGGAAACCCUGAUGGUGCGACGCCGCGUGGGGGAAUGAAGGUCUUCGGAUUGUAAACCCCUGUCAUGUGGGAGCAAAUUAAAAAGAUAGUACCACAAGAGGAAGAGACGGCUAACUCUGUGCCAGCAGCCGCGGUAAUACAGAGGUCUCAAGCGUUGUUCGGAAUCACUGGGCGUAAAGCGUGCGUAGGCGGUUUCGUAAGUCGUGUGUGAAAGGCGGGGGCUCAACCCCCGGACUGCACAUGAUACUGCGAGACUAGAGUAAUGGAGGGGGAACCGGAAUUCUCGGUGUAGCAGUGAAAUGCGUAGAUAUCGAGAGGAACACUCGUGGCGAAGGCGGGUUCCUGGACAUUAACUGACGCUGAGGCACGAAGGCCAGGGGAGCGAAAGGGAUUAGAUACCCCUGUAGUCCUGGCAGUAAACGG